ensembl:lincRNA Gm29296 predicted gene 29296
CAAGAAGCUCUGGGAUCAAUUAAAAUGCCAGGCUUUUCCAGGCUUGUUUCCAGAGCAUCUGGGCAUGAUUCCACAUAAAUUUAAGGAAUUAGAGAUCAGACAAAGAAACUAAUUCUAUUAUUUGCCAAAUAUACUAUAAAUGUCAUAAGGUUUUUGAUUUAUAAUUGAUAUCUAUUUACAGAUGAUAAACUGGACCACAUCUGAUUUAUCUCUAGCUUCAGCUACUAAAACAGCCCUGGGGAACUCAGGCUUAUAAGUUCAAUACUGUCUACAUACUUUAUAUUGUCAAGCUUUCAUGCCCUGCAGCUAAGCUAAAUCUG